CGGGGUGCAGCAGGCGCGAAACCUUUGCAAUGUGCGCAAGCGCGACAAGGUUAAUCCGAGUGUUUCGUGCUAAAGGAAUCUUUUGUUAGUCGUAAAACCACUGAUGAAUAAGGGGUGGGCAAGUUCUGGUGUCAGCCGCCGCGGUAAAACCAGCACCUCAAGUGGUCAGGAGGAUUAUUGGGCCUAAAGCACCCGUAGCCGGCUCUGCAAGUUUUCGGUUAAAUCCAUUUGCUUAACAAAUGGGCUGCCGAAAAUACUACAUAGCUAGGGAGUGGGAGAGGUAGACGGUAUUCGGUAGGAAGGGGUAAAAUCCUUUGAUCUAUUGAGGACCACCUAUGGCGAAGGCAGUCUACCAGAACACGUUCGACGGUGAGGGAUGAAAGCUGGGGGAGCAAACCGGAUUAGAUACCCGGGUAGUCCCAGCUGUAAACGAUGCAGACUCGGUGAUGCACUGGCUUGUGGCCAGUGCAGUGCCGCAGGGAAGCCGUUAAGUUUGCCGCCUGGGAAGUACGUACGCAAGUAUGAAACUUAAAGGAAUUGGCGGGGGAGCAC
rnacentral:rRNA from 2 species